ensembl:misc_RNA
UCUUCGCUGAGCCCCGCGCCUUCCCCCGGGUGGGGCACUGCGUUCCCUGCGGUCGCGGCA